rnacentral:rRNA from 1 species
CCCUUAGACGUUCUGGGCCGCACGCGCGCUACACUGACCAGUGCAACAAGCAUCCGUCCUUGGCCGACAGGCCCGGGCAAUCUUUGAACGCUGGUCGUGAUGGGGAUAGACUUUUGCAAUUUUUGGUCUUCAACGAGGAAUUCCUAGUAAACGCAAGUCAUCAACUUGCAUUGAUUACGUCCCUGCCCUUUGUACACACCGCCCGUCGCUACUACCGAUUGAACGUUUUAGUGAGGCAUUUGGACCGACGCAUCUCAGUUUAACCGCUGGUUUGUGUUGGAAAGACUUCCAAACUUGAGCGUUUAGAGGAAGUAAAAGUCGUAACA